rnacentral:misc_RNA from 1 species
AACCCUUGACAUGUCCCGUAUGGGCCUCGGAGACGGGGUCCUUCAGUUCGGCUGGCGGGAACACAGGUGCUGCAUGGCUGUCGUCAGCUCGUGUCGUGAGAUGUUGGGUUAAGUCCCGCAACGAGCGCAACCCUCGCCUUUAGUUGCCAUCAUUCAGUUGGGCACUCUAGAGGGACUGCCGGUGAUAAGCCGGAGGAAGGUGGGGAUGACGUUAGCCUAUCGAGA